ACUCAAAGGAAUUGACGGGGGCACGCACAAGCGGUGGGUAAUGUGGUUUAAUUCGAAGCAACGGGAAGAACCUUACCAGGUCUUGACAUCCUUUGACCACUCUAGAGAUAGAGCUUCCCCUUCGGGGGCAAAGUGACAGGUGGUGCAUGGUUGUCGUCAGCUCGUGUCGUGAGAUGUUGGGUUAAGUCCCGCAACGAGCGCAACCCUUAUUGUUAGUUGCCAUCAUUCAGUUGGGCACUCUAGCAAGACUGCCGGUGACAAACCGGAGGAAGGUGGGGAUGACGUCAAAUCAUCAUGCCCCUUAUGACCUGGGCUACACACGUGCUACAAUGGGAAGUACAACGAGUUGCGAAGUCGCGAGGCUAAGCUAAUCUCUUAAAGCUUCUCUCAGUUCGGAUUGCAGGCUGCAACUCGCCUGCAUGAAGCCGGAAUCGCUAGUAAUCGCGGAUCAGCACGCCGCGGUGAAUACGUUCCCGGGCCUUGUACACACCGCCCGUCACACCACGAGAGUUUGUAACACCCGAAGUCGGUGAGGUAACCUUUUUGGAGCCAGCCGCCUAAGGUGGGAUAGAUGAUUGGGGUGAAGUCGUAACAAGGUAGCCGUAUCGGAAGGUGCGGCUGGAUCACCUCCUUUCUAAGGAA
rnacentral:rRNA from 1 species